CCAAGCCAAGGCAAUGUUUGAUUUCUUGGAAUUAUUAAAGUCUUGGGGAUUGCUAAACGAAAUAAUUGAUACCCUGAUUGAACGGGGGAUUAAUUCCUUUCUCAUUCUUGACAAAAUGCGAAUUGACGACGUUGACGCUUUUUUCGAUAGAUGUGAAACAAAAUAUUUCGGAGAGCGCAUAAAAUUUAAAGCCGGUUUUAGGAAGUGGCGAACAAAAAAGGGUAUUCCAUUUAUUUGUGACCAGGAGAUACAAACUGCAAACACCGACGUCUUAGAUUGGCUGAAAAAAUAUUCAGUGAUUUGUCUUCCGUAAAAUCGGGAGAAUGUAGUAUGGUACUUUGUUCGCCUCAAACGAAGAUUUCUUCGUUUCGCGAGCUUUUAAAAACGUCAGUAAAGGGACAACUUGCUUUAAGUUAUCAAGAAAUUCAUGGCUACUUGGAUAGUAGAAACCAAAAAAAUGUAACACAUUGCAUCGUUGACAACUAUAUUGGUUUAGGACGCAAAAUGCAAUACUCAGAUAUGAGGGAAUGGGCGAAUGAAAUUGUUGCGGUAUUUCCUAAAGAAAAGAAGUAGGAAUGGGAAAAAAAGAAGCCGAGUCAUAAUGUCAUAAAGUUGGAAAACAAAGCCAAUUAUGUUACCCAGGAAGCUCAUGGAGAUGUUUUUGACGAUAACGUAUUGGAAAAAAAGUGUUGGUUGGCACAUAAUUGCACACCUUGGGAAAAAGUUAAAAAGUUUUGGGUAGAUACAUGCACAUUUAGAAAUAAAUGUAAGGGAUCUCUAUCGGAUUUGCUAGCAGACUGGCCGCGCUACAAUGAUUUUAACGGUUACGAAUUGGUUGAUAUUGAUUUUAAUGCCACGCAUCCAGACAUUUGAAACGAGCUGGUCUUGAAACUUGACAAGUUUUAUAAAGUAAUCCUUCCUAUCUGAAAUGUGGAAGUAAAAGACCAAGCCAGCC